GCCUUUGUGGUGUAACUGAGGCAUACUCAACUCGUAUUCGAGAGGUCCAGGGUUCGAAUCCCGGCCGAGGGCA
rnacentral:tRNA from 1 species